rnacentral:rRNA from 1 species
GUCCAGACUCCUACGGGAGGCAGCAGUGGGAAAUAUUGCACAAUGGGGGAAACCCUGAUGCAGCGACGCCGCGUGAGUGAAGAAGUAUUUCGGUAUGUAAAGCUCUAUCAGCAGGGAAGAAAAUGACGGUACCUGACUAAGAAGCCCCGGCUAACUACGUGCCAGCAGCCGCGGUAAUACGUAGGGGGCAAGCGUUAUCCGGAUUUACUGGGUGUAAAGGGAGCGUAGACGGCAUGGCAAGUCAGAUGUGAAAGCCCGGGGCUCAACCCCGGGACUGCAUUUGAAACUGUCAGGCUGGAGUGCAGGAGAGGUAAGUGGAAUUCCUAGUGUAGCGGUGAAAUGCGUAGAUAUUAGGAGGAACACCAGUGGCGAAGGCGGCUUACUGGACUGUAACUGACGUUGAGGCUCGAAAGCGUGGGGAGCAAACAGGAUUAGAUACCCCUGUA